AAAUAGAUCCUGAAACCGCAUGCAUACAAGCAGUGGGAGCACCUUCGUGGUGUGACUGCGUACCUUUUGUAUAAUGGGUCAGCGACUUAUAUUCAGUAGCGAGGUUAACCGUAUAGGGGAGCCGUAGGGAAAUCGAGUCUUAAUAGGGCGUUUAGUUGCUGGGUAUAGACCCGAAACCAGGCGAUCUAUCCAUGAGCAGGUUGAAGGUUGGGUAACACUAACUGGAGGACCGAACCCACUGUCGUUGAAAAGCCA
rnacentral:rRNA from 1 species